GGAGGGGGGGCGGGCCUUAUCAUGCAUGUCGAACGAGAAGCACCUCUUUCGGAGGUGUGGAUAGUGGCGAACGGCCGAUUAACACGUGGGCAACCUGCCCCUCUCAUCGGGAUAGCCUCGGGAAACCGGGGAUAAUACCGGAUACUCCAACGCUUUCGCAUGGAAGCGUUGGGAAAGCUCUGGCGGAGAGGGAUGGGCCCGCGGCCUGUUAGCUAGUUGGCGGGGUAACGGCCCACCAAGGCUUCUAUGGGUAGCCGGGUUGAGAGACCGACCGGCCAGAUUGGGACUGAGACACGGCCCAGACUCCUACGGGAGGCAGCAGUGGGGAAUCUUGCGCAAUGGGCGAAAGCCUGACGCAGCGACGCCGCGUGCGGGAUGACGGCCUUCGGGUUGUAAACCGCUUUCAGCAGGGACGAGGCCGCAAGGUGACGGUACCUGCAGAAGAAGCCCCGGCUAACUACGUGCCAGCAGCCGCGGUAAUACGUAGGGGGCGAGCGUUAUCCGGAUUCAUUGGGCGUAAAGCGCGCGUAGGCGGCCAGUUAGGUCGGGAGUCAAAUUUCGGGGCUCAACCCCGUCUCGCUCCCGAUACCGGCUGGCUUGAGUGUGGUAGGGGAAGGCGGAAUUCCCGGUGUAGCGGUGGAAUGCGCAGAUAUCGGGAAGAACACCGGUGGCGAAGGCGGCCUUCUGGGCCAUCACUGACGCUGAGGCGCGAAAGCUAGGGGAGCAAACAGGAUUAGAUACCCUGGUAGU
rnacentral:rRNA from 1 species